CGGUAAUACGGAGGGUGCAAGCGUUAAUCGGAAUUACUGGGCGUAAAGCGCACGCAGGCGGUUUGUCAAGUCGGAUGUGAAAUCCCCGGGCUCAACCUGGGAACUGCAUUCGAAACUGGCAAGCUAGAGUCUUGUAGAGGGGGGUAGAAUUCCAGGUGUAGCGGUGAAAUGCGUAGAGAUCUGGAGGAAUACCGGUGGCGAAGGCGGCCCCCUGGACAAAGACUGACGCUCAGGUGCGAAAGCGUGGGGAGCAAACAGGAUU
rnacentral:rRNA from 1 species